ACCUGAGCCAUGCCACCCUGAAUGUGCCCGAUCUUGUCUGAUCUCGGAAGCUAAGUAGGAUCGGGCCUGGUUAGUACUUGGAUGGGAGACCACCUGGGAAUAUUGGGUGCUGUAGGUG
rnacentral:rRNA from 1 species